GGGUUCGUGGACCACUCGUUCAAAAGAAGAGAAAGAAAAACCCCUUUUAACAUGUUUUCAACCAGAAAAAAGGAUAUUUCAUAUUUUUAUGGGUUAUAAAAGUAAUUAAAAUAAGAUAACUCGAAAGUUUCUGAUAAGGGCAACGCUACUAUUAACCUAAGAAAGAAAUACUGUAUAAAAAAACUGCGAUAAUUCUUCAUUUUCUCAUCAUCACAUUACAAAAGAGAUAUAUAGUGAGGUGAACCGUAGGAACAUAGGGUCAUCAGGCCCACUACGAGACUUGGUGGAAGAUAAAAAAAGGAAAUACAAUAACAUUUUAGUCCAAAAGGAAAGCCCAAUUAGACCUUGUAAUCCUUAAGCCAAAACGGGGGGCGCCUAUCCCUAGUCCUGCGAAGUGGGCUUAUAUCAUUGCCCGCCCCUUGAAAAAUGACUUCGUCCUCGAAGUCCAAAUGGGAAUCUGAUGUGGCAGUUGUGUUUUUAGUGAAUGGCACAAAUGCGGUCAAGGGUUGAGGGCCACGGAUCGAGCUUUGAUCCAACGGCUGUGUGGAGAUGGAGUCUUCUGGAUGCGCGGAAGUGGAGCCUUGAAGUGGAAAGUCAGACUGGGUUGCAUUAUUAUUUGCAUCAUGUGUGGGAGAAGAGAGAGAGAGUUCGAGGGAAGCUUCAGGGGUUUCACCAUGGAGUGUGGCUAUGGCUCGAGGUGGUUCGCCGUGGAAUUGCCGGAGAAGAGAAACAUGAAAAAUUGGAUGGACCGCCGCGGAGGAGGCAGAUCAAGCUCGUACGCGACAGCGCCAAUGCGACGCACCACCUGGAAAGGCCCUUGAAAAUGUCGACGAAGCUUCUGCGAUGUGGAACGACCCAAGGAUAGCUGGCGGUACGGCUGAAGACGCAAAAAACUCAGUCGCUGGGGUUGAAGGAGGGAGGCGACUGAAACAACUGUGGUGGGUGGCGACACAAAAUCUGGAAAAGCGGGAGGAGCGCGACCAUACAAAGCUUGGAAGGGAGUCAUGCCUAAAGCUGACUGAAGUGUGGUGUUGUACCAAAAUUCGGCUAAGUGAAGGAAGAGGUACCAAUGGCGUGGGAAGUCCCCUGCAAAGCAACGUAAAUAUGCUGUCAGCACUCGAUUAACCACCUCCGUUUGGCCGUCAAUUUUCGGGUGGUAGGCGGAAGAAAAGCAGAGUUUGGUGCCAUGAAGGCGAAAAAGUUCACGCCAGAAGGAGCUGAGGAAAACUUUAUCCCGAUUAGAGACGAUGGUGCGCGGAAACCCGUGGAGGCGGACAAUUUCUAUCAUGAAUUGGGAAGCCAGGGAGGAGGCAUUAAAAUGUGUGGGCAAGGCAAUGAAAUGCGCAUAUUUAGAAAGGCGAUCCACGACGACCCAAAUGACUGUGUGACCAACUGACGACGAAAGAUGGGUGGAGCACGAGCGGACAAAAGCCUUGACGUCCUUUGCCAUAGUUGGCCAAGCGAAGGAAGCCGCCAGGCGAGCUAAAGUGGCUUUGACACCAGAAUGACCAGCCAUAGGUGAGGCAUGAAACUCGUGCAAAAUGGAUGAGCGCAAGGAAGGAAUCUCGGGAAUGAAAAGGCGGUUUUUGAAAUACACCAAGCCAUGAGAAACUGUGAAAUGGGGCGUGGCGUGUGUAACAGAAGAGAGCUGUCGGACUAAGGCAAGACCAUUCGCGUGAGUGGAAAAGAAAUUUUUGAGCUGCUCAACAAUGUCAGGGAUGAUGGUGGAAAUUGCCAGAAAUAUGAGCUCUGGGUAUCAGGAACACGGGACAAGGCAUCAGUAACUCGAUUUUGCUUCCCAGAGGCAACUUGGAGUUUAGAACAGAGCUUUUUACUGAAGUACGCAAUGGGAUGGCCAGAUUGAAGGAGAAUCGCGCCAACUAUCGUGGAGAAAGCAUCUGUUUCGAUAUCAAAUGUAGCACGAAAGUCGGGCAGGGCUAACAUAGGAGCAGUAGUUAGGGCCUCUUGUAAUUUCUUAAAUGCUUCCAUCUCUGUAUCAGACCAUUGAAAUGAGGUAUUGGAACGUAGGAGAUCCGUGAGGGGUGCGGCCAAAGCUGCAUAAUGGUGAAUGAAGCGCUUGUAAAAUCUUGUAAGGCCCAAGAAGCCAUGCAGGGUAGUGAGGUUAUGUGGGGGAGGCCAGUCUAAUAUCGCUUGGACCUUUGAUGGGUCUGGCUGGACCCCCUGGGCUGAUAUAAUGUGGCCCAAGUAGUGAAUAGAGGAGGCCGCAAAUGAACAUUUCGACAAUUUAGCAAAGUAAGAAUGGUGAGCUAAUAACUGUAAAAUUAAAUCAACAUGAACAAGGUGAUCAGUAAGAGAGGAACUGUAAAUCAGAAUAUCAUCAAAAAAAACCAGCACAAACUUGCGUAAGUGAGGGCGUAAAAGAUCAUUCAUGGCUGCUUGAAAUGUGGCCGGAGCAUUAGUAAGCCCAAAGGGCAUUACUAAAAACUCAUAAUGACCGUCAUGAGUGCGGAAAGCAGUUUUGUGGGUGUCGCUGGGGUUCAUCCUAAUUUGAUGAUACCCCGAGCGCAAAUCGAUCUUAGAGAAAAUAGUAGCAUUGCCCAACUCGUCUAGUAGUUCAUCAAUGGUUGGGAUAGGAAAACGUUCUUUGAUGUUAAUGGAGUUGAGAGCCCGAUAAUCAACACAAAAACGCUAUGUAUUAUCUUUUUUACGAACCAAUAAAACUGGGGAGGAAAAAGGGUUGUGGCUUGGUAUAAUUAAGUCUUCCUGUAAUAAUUCAGAAACAAUGGAGGAAAUGGUGUCUUUCUGUGCAUGAGGGUAACGGUAUGGUUUAACAUUGACUGGGGAAGAGUGAGAAAGGAGGGUGAUGUGGUGGUCAUGUGAACAAACUGGGGGCAACCCAUGGGGCGUAUGGAAAAUAGUGGAGUAUUGGAGAAUUAUCUUUUGAAAAUCUGGGGAAAGAUGGGAAAUGGAGUUUGGAAGGCUAGUAGGUUCAGUAUCUGGUGAAGGGGUUUGGGUAAAAGUUAAGAGGUGUAAGGAGGUAAUGGCAUCAUGGUGUAGGAAGUGGAGAAAUUGUGGGUAGGAAGCUGAGUAGGGGGUAGGUUGGUAGAUUCCAAUAAGGUGAUAAGGGUAUGAUCGUGGGUAAAUGUCAUGCAAGGAACAGAGAAAUUGGAAACGAUGGACCCCAAUGUUUGUAACCAAGCAAUACCUAAAACCAAAUCUGCUCCAGCAAUGGAUAAAAGAUAACAAGGAAUGGUAAAUUUGUGGGAUUGAAUAGUGAGAUCCACGUGAGGACAAAAGCCCGUACAUUGAAUAGUGUCACCAUUGCCAACCAUAACCUGGAAAGGGGAAAUUGGGUUAAUGGGAAGGUUUAGGUGAUUGGCUAAAUGAGGUUGUAGUAUAUUAUGAGAACUGCUUGUAUCCACCAAAAUAGUAACAGUAAUACUCGCAAUUGACCCUUGAAACCUUAGGGUUUUGGGUGAAGGGGAACCCAUAAGAGCUUGAGGGGAAAGUUGGAGAGGGAGAAUGGUUGAGUCUAUUUGGGGUGGGGAAGAAGGGGGAGAGGGGUCAAAAAUAGGAGAAGUGGAAUGAGGGUCAUCAUCUUCGGUGAGGAGAAGAAGAAAUUGUUUGGGCUUACAACAGUGAGUGGGGUGAAACUUCUCAUCACAGUUAUAACACAAUCCCAAGGCACGUCGCUCUUGGAGUUGGGCUUGGGUCAAACGUUUGACAGGAAGGGUUGGGGAAGUAGUGGUAGAACCAACUGUUGAAGACGGAGGAGCUGGAAGGGAGGGUUUGGGUGGUGGAAGGGUAGAAUAGGGUUUGUGAGGAACAAGGCGAGGGGAGGUCCGAGAUUUGGAAGCAGACAAUUUGGAUUCAACCAGUUUAGCUAGGUCAAUGGCUUGGUUGAUGGAUUGGGGGCGGUGGAGGGCUAAUUCCUCUUGAAUUGCAGGUAAUAAUCCAGAGAUGAAACAAUGUAAUAUAGAGUCAGGAGAUAAUCGAUGACGGACCCUUGUUGGCGAAGUUUAAAUAACAUUUGUUGGUGGUUUUCAUAGGAUGACGGUCCAAAUCGAAGCUCUAAAGAACGGGUAAAUGACUCCCAAUCCUGCAGCUGGUGGUUAAAAUGCAUCCAUUUAAACCAACUUAAGGCAUCACCCUUCAUAUAAAAUGAAAUCAUAGGCAAACGUUGCUCAGGGGCCACAUUGUGAAACAAGAAAAAUUGCUCGGCCUGAAAAAUCCAAUCUAAAGGAUGUGAGCCAUCAAAAGGGGCUAGUUGGAGUUUGGGGAGGCGAAGGUUUGGGUUGGAAGGAGGGUUAUGCGUAUAUGAGGAAAAUUGUUGAAAUGGGUUAUGGGAAGGACCAGGGUUAUGAGGAAAUGGGGUAAAAUAUGGGGGAAAAGGGGAGAAACCUGGAAGGUGUGUGGUGUUGGAAGAGGGCCCAGAGGUCACGAGGAUCACAGGUGGGGCUGUAGAGGUGUUGGUGGAGUGUAUGUGAGCACCUUGGCUUGGAUUAGCCAUAGAAAGAGCUUGAACUUUCUCAAUCAGGGUGGCACUGGUACUAGUGAGAGCAUCAUGACGGUGAGCCAUGGCUGCCUGGAGUUGGUCAAUACGUUGAUCAUGCUGCUGGGUAAUGGUGUUGAGAUGAUCCGUGAGGGCUUGCACGGCAUCUUCAAGGUCCUUGUUAUGCUUGGGGGGUAUGAGGGUCGAUGAAAGCACCAGAUGAUAAGGGCAACACUACUAUUAACCUAAGAAAGAAAUACUGUAUAAAAAAAAUUGUGAUAAUUCUUCAUUUUCUCAUCAUCACAUUACAAAAGAGAUAUAUAGUGAGGUGAACCGUAGGAACAUAGGGUCAUCAGGCCCACUACGAGACUUGGUGGAAGAUAAAAAAAGGAAAUACAAUAACAUUUUAGUCCAAAAGGAAAGCCCAAUUAGACCUUGUAAUCCUUAAGCCAAAACGGGGGAUGCCUAUCCCUAGUCCUGCGAAGUGGGCUUAUAUCAGUUUCAUAACUCUGGAGACGAAAAGAAUGUUUGUUAUAUUUUCAUGUAAUAAGUCCUAAAUAAUAAUAAUAAUAAUUGUGUUAUAAAAGGAAGAAAAAUAUAGAAAACAAAUAAGAUAAUGUGAGAUGGAGAAAAGAAUUUGAUUAGUGUAUUAUCUUUGGGAGA